AUUGAACGCUGGCGGCAGGCCUAACACAUGCAAGUCGAACGGUAACAGGAAGCAUCUUGCUGCUUUGCUGACGAGUGGCGGACGGGUGAGUAAUGUCUGGGAAACUGCCUGAUGGAGGGGGAUAACUACUGGAAACGGUAGCUAAUACCGCAUAACGUCGCAAGCCCAAAGAGGGGGACCUUCGGGCCUCUUGCCAUCGGAUGUGCCCAGAUGGGAUUAGCUAGUAGGUGGGGUAACGGCUCACCUAGGCGACGAUCCCUAGCUGGUCUGAGAGGAUGACCAGCCACACUGGAACUGAGACACGGUCCAGACUCCUACGGGAGGCAGCAGUGGGGAAUAUUGCACAAGGGGCGCAAGCCUGAUGCAGCCAUGCCGCGUGUAUGAAGAAGGCCUUCGGGUUGUAAAGUACGUUCAGCGGGGAGGAAGGGAGUAAAGUUAAGACCUUUGCUCAUUGACGUUACCCGCAGAAGAAGCACCGGCUAACUCCGUG
rnacentral:rRNA from 1 species